rnacentral:rRNA from 1 species
UACGUAGGGUGCAGGCGUUAAUCGGAAUUACUGGGCGUAAAGCGUGCGCAGGCGGUUUGCUAAGACGGGUGUGAAAUCCCCGGGCUUAACCUGGGAACUGCGCUUGUAACUGGCAAGCUGGAGUGUGGCAGAGGGGGGUGGAAUUCCACGUGUAGCAGUGAAAUGCGUAGAGAUGUGGAGGAACACCGAUGGCGAAGGCAGCCCCCUGGGCUAACACUGACGCUCAUGCACGAAAGCGUGGGGAGCAAACAGG